rnacentral:rRNA from 1 species
GGGUUGUGAGGUUAAGCGACUAAGCGUACACGGUGGAUGCCCUGGCAGUCAGAGGCGAUGAAGGACGUGCUAAUCUGCGAUAAGCGUCGGUAAGGUGAUAUGAACCGUUAUAACCGGCGAUUUCCGAAUGGGGAAACCCAGUGUGAUUCGUCACACUAUCAUUAACUGAAUCCAUAGGUUAAUGAGGCGAACCGGGGGAACUGAAACAUCUAAGUACCCCGAGGAAAAGAAAUCAACCGAGAUUCCCCCAGUAGCGGCGAGCGAACGGGGAGCAGCCCAGAGCCUGAAUCAGUGUGUGUGUUAGUGGAAGCGUCUGGAAAGGCGCGCGAUACAGGGUGACAGCCCCGUACACAAAAAUGCACAUGCUGUGAGCUCGAUGAGUAGGGCGGGACACGUGGUAUCCUGUCUGAAUAUGGGGGGACCAUCCUCCAAGGCUAAAUACUCCUGACUGACCGAUAGUGAACCAGUACCGUGAGGGAAAGGCGAAAAGAACCCCGGCGAGGGGAGUGAAAAAGAACCUGAAACCGUGUACGUACAAGCAG